CCGGAGCUUGCUCCGGUGAAAGUGGCGCACGGGUGAGUAACGCGUGGAUAAUCUGCCCUGGUAUCUGGGAUAACAUCUCGAAAGGGGUGCUAAUACCGGAUAAGCCUACGGACUCCUCGGAGUCUGCAGGAAAAGGAGGCCUCUAUUUAUAAGCUUCCGUAUCAUGAUGGGUCCGCGUACCAUUAGCUAGUUGGUGGGGUAAUGGCCUACCAAGGCGACGAUGGUUAGCUGGUCUGAGAGGAUGAUCAGCCACACUGGAACUGAGACACGGUCCAGACUCCUACGGGAGGCAGCAGUGGGGAAUUUUGCGCAAUGGGGGAAACCCUGACGCAGCAACGCCGCGUGAGUGAUGAAGGCUUUCGGGUCGUAAAGCUCUGUCAGAGGGGAAGAAAUGAGUCUGGCUAAUAUCCAGAUUUCUUGACGGUACCCUCAAAGGAAGCACCGGCUAACUCCGUGCCAGCAGCCGCGGUAAUAC
rnacentral:rRNA from 1 species